rnacentral:lncRNA from 1 species
GGCAGGAAAAUAAGCUUAUGUUGAUUCUUUCCCAACUCCACUAUGAUAUUAAGGGUAAAAGAAAUACUCUCCUAAGCUGAAUCCUGAUUUAAUUAGGCAAGCUCUUUAAAAGAAGGCUUAGGGUCUUCUCUGAGAUCAGAGAUUCUCCUGCUGGCCUUGAUGAAGCAAGAUGCUAUCGGUCCUGCAUCUGUAAGAAAAUGGAUUCUGCCUUAGGAUCAUGGAGGAGGACCUCGAGCUUUGAUAAGGCAGUGGCCCUGGCUGACAUCCUGACUGCAGCCUUGUGAGGUCCUGAGCACAGGCCCUAUCUAGGCUGUACCUGGACACCUAACCCACAGAAAUAGUCAAAAAUGUACUUUUUGGAGUUCCCGUUGUGGUGCAGUGGUUAACGAAUCCAACUAGGAACCAUGAGGUUUCGGGUUCGGUCCCUGCCCUUGCUCAGUGGGUUAAUGAUCCGGCGUUGCUGUGAGCUGUGGUGUAGGUUGCAGACGCGGCUCGGAUCCCGCGUUGCUGUGGCUCUGGCGGCAACGCCGGAUCCUUAACCCACUGAGCAAGGCCAGGGAUAGAACCCACAACAUUGUUCCUCGUCGGAUUCGUUAACCACUGAGCCACGAUGUGAACUCCCUACAUGGUUGUUUUAAAGCUGUAAGUUUGUGAUAUGUCAGACACCAAAAGACUUCUCUAAACUUAUUCUCUGAAGUGCUGCUUUAAUUUUCUCUCUUUUGGCUUUUUAGGGCCAUACCCACAGCACAUGGAGGUUCCCAGGCUAGGGGUCAAAUCCAAGCUAGAGCUGCCAGUCUACACCACAGCCACGGCAAUGCAGGAUCUGAGCUGAAUCUGUGACCACAGCUCAUGGCAACUCCAGAUCCUUAACCCACUGAGCAAGGACAGAGAUUGAACCUGCAACCUCAUGGUUCCUAGUCAGAUUCAUUUCCACUGUGCCACAAUGGAGACUCCAAAUUUUCUCUUCAGAGAGGCAAUGGAAAAAAUUCAAAUACGAUGUCUUACAAAUUAAUGUCAAUAAAUCAUGUUACAAUGCAAUUACACCUUUAAAGAAACAAAACCCCUAUAAAUUAGUUAUUGAGGUAAUAAGCAUAAAUUUAGUGUUAAGGAAAAUUAUCUUUAAAAGAUAUACUUUAGACUGGAGCUACCUAUACACAUUGCAAUUUAACAUUCUUAUUUUUACAGCAUCUGAGAAGGCCUCAGUGUUCCAAAAAGGCAGUUCAAGAGAUGAAAAGUGAAGAACAUCAAGCUUAUUAAAACUUAAUUAUUCCAUUUUUUCUCAGCACAAUUGCUCUAUAUUAAAAAUAAGUCGGUUUACUAGAUUAGUGGAGAAAAACAAAGUUGUGUUUUAAUCAGUUAAAUAUGGUGAACUGUUAACUGUGCUAAAAUAAAUUUUAGACAUGGAAAAGUCCUUCCUGGAAUUCUAUUAGAAAAAUCAAUGUCCUGUAUGAGACUACAAGUAAACGACCAGCCCUUAUACUCAUCAAGCAGCCCUGGUACUCAUAGACACUAGUAUCAUUCAGAACUAGUAUGGAUUUAAGAAUAAUUAUUCUAUACAAUCAUUUAGCCUGUUAUAACCCUCACUGGCUUACUUUGACCCAGGCUUCUGUUUACUAAGAAACAUGAAUUAAGCUAAGUACUGUUAUGUUCACCGCCUGGUAACUUAAGAUGUUUGUAAAACCACGCUUUGUGUGCAAUCUAUCAUUUUGAGCCAUAUGUUCAAGUUAUACUAAUACUUAAAACACAGCUCAAGUUGUCUCUCUCAGUCCAUUUUGCUGGAAGAAUGAAAGAAGGUCAAACUCUUGAUUUAGACAUGAGGAAGCAGAAGCAUAGAUAGUGUCACUUGAACAAAUUCAAGUGAUAUGCUAGCUUAGAAUACUAAUAUGUCUAUUUUGAAAUUAAAGAACUUAACAAAUUUCUUCUGCAAUGUUAGGACUAGGUCAAAGCCACUGAGUUUAAUUCUAACUUUAGAUGAAUAUAUAUUUAAAAAAACCACAAAGCACACACACAUAUCCCAUGUAAAACAUUGCUUUAAGUUUUAAUGUUUAUUUCCCCAAGACAGCCUAGCCUGCACUCUACUUGGAUAAAUUUUACAAGCUAGUGUUCUGCUGCUUCUAGUUUAAAACUUGAACCAUGUUUCUGAUGACAAGGAAUGCUGCAAAAAUACUCUAGUUCAACAAAGAGUUAUGAUCACAAAAUAAUUUUUAUCCAUUCUACAGUGUUUCAGAAUUACCAGUUGAUUUUUAAACACAAAGUAGAUAUAGAUGCUAAUGGUGGCUAAUCUGGUAUGUUUCUUAUAGCAAACUGUUGUUCAUGCAACACUUGUGCUCAAAGGGGAAGGCACAGGAUUUCCUACAAUGAGCCACCUUAUAAAGAGUUCUUUUUGUACAAAUUAAUUUAUGUCACAUUUAAUUUAGUGUGCAUAACCUCAAAACUGAGGUAUUAUUCCAAUUUAUAAAAACCACUUGCAUAACUUUUAUGCAAGUUUUAAAAAUACAAAGUUUUCUCCCUAAAGUGGCUCAAAAUAGAUUGUUCAUGGCUGCCUACAUCUAAGAUAAAAAGAUUCUAAAACAAUUGAACAGAUUAGGCAUAUUAUUAAAGGUGUUCAAACCAUUACUUGAUUUGUACAUCUACUCAAACCUCUUCAUCGGUCUUUAUUCAGCAGUACAUAUGCACCAAAUUCCAUUUUAGAAGUUUCCAUAUCAUUUUCAUAGAAAACAAAGUUUGAAAACAAGUAACAUUUAAACACAGCACGGUAUUCUACCACAACUGAAACUUUUUUCUUCUUCUUCUUUACAGGACUCAACAAAAUCUAAAAAUGAACUAUGCUGUAGAUUUACCUCAUGCAAAGAUUUUUAUGUUAUCUCUGAAAAUGAAAAGGAUGGCUUUUUAAAGCACAUUUUACUGGUUUAUACUAUUAUGGCAACUUGUGUACUGCAACACAGUCUAUUUUGAGGGAAAUUUAUGAUUUUUUUUCAUGCAAAAAUCUACACAAAUUAGUUUUGAUGAUAUGGAAAGCUUUUCAUAGCAUCAAACAUUCAUCUGGUGCAAAUGCACAGGGAAACCUUCCUGAAAGUUUUCUGACUUGAGAAGCAACUAAAAAGCCAUACUAGUAAUGUAAAUAAAAACUAAAAACAAAAAACAAAAACCCAAAAAACAAAACAAAAACUAAAACAAAACAAAAAAACAAAAAACAAAACAAAAAAAAAAAAAAA